AGAUUAAGUUAUUAAGGGCGAACGGUGGAUGCCUUGGCACUAGAAGCCGAUGAAGGACGUUACUAACGACGAUAUGCUUUGGGGAGCUGUAAGUAAGCUUUGAUCCAGAGAUUUCCGA
rnacentral:rRNA from 1 species